GGCUACUAGACUUAGGUGUAAUACUGUGUGCAUCAAGCUAUUGCUGAUCACGGUGAGUUUCACAUUAUGGUCCUCUUGAUUGAUGACUUUUCGGGAUGUUUUUUCUGUUAGUUCUCAUGCGAUUCGGUGGUGUCUUCAGUACAGAUGCUUGAUGCCUUGGUUGGUUCGAUUUAUGGUUGCUCUCUUAUGUGUGGUCGGACAUAUUUGAUUCUGCUUGGUUGAUGGGCAUGAAAGAAUCAAGUCAUGAAGUCGGAAGCAUUAGGUGUAAAAACAAAAUUUGCUAUAAUUAUUAGCAUGAGAAGGUUAACAACAUGAAGGUACAAAUCAUCUUAUACUAUAUAAAAUUGUACUUUGCACAGGUACAGUAUUGAGGCA
rnacentral:lncRNA from 1 species